rnacentral:rRNA from 1 species
UACGUAGGGGGCAAGCGUUGUUCGGAAUUACUGGGCGUAAAGGGCGCGUAGGCGGCAUGGCAAGUCAGGAGUGAAAGGCCUGGGCUCAACCGAGGAACUGCUUUUGAUACUGCCAAGCUAGAGUGCGGAAGGGGCAACUGGAAUUCCCAGUGUAGCGGUGAAAUGCGUAGAUAUUGGGAAGAACACCUGAGGCGAAGGCGGGUUGCUGGGCCGACACUGACGCUGAGGCGCGAAGCCAGGGGAGCAAACGGG